UGGGGAAUCUUGCGCAAUGGGCGAAAGCCUGACGCAGCAACGCCGCGUGCGGGAUGAAGGCCUUCGGGUUGUAAACCGCUUUCAGUGGGGACGAAAACAGACGGUACCCACAGAAGAAGCCCCGGCCAACUACGUGCCAGCAGCCGCGGUAACACGUAGGGGGCGAGCGUUGUCCGGAAUCAUUGGGCGUAAAGAGCUCGUAGGCGGCUCAGUAAGUCGGGUGUGAAACCCUCAGGCUCAACCUGGGGACGCCACCCGAUACUGCUGUGGCUAGAGUCCAGUAGGGGAGUGUGGAAUUCCCGGUGUAGCGGUGAAAUGCGCAGAUAUCGGGAGGAACACCAGCGGCGAAGGCGGCACUCUGGGCUGGAACUGACGCUGAGGAGCGAAAGCGUGGGUAGCAAACAGGAUUAGAUACCCUGGUAGUCCACGCCGUAAACGUCGGGCACUAGGUGUGGGGACCCUCCAACGGUUUCCGUGCCGUAGCUAACGCAUUAAGUGCCCCGCCUGGGGAGUACGGCCGCAAGGCUAA
rnacentral:rRNA from 1 species